rnacentral:rRNA from 1 species
UUUAAGCAUAUAAGUAAGCGGAGGACAAGAAACUAAACAGGAUCCCCAUAGUAAUGGCGAAUGAACCGGGAUAAACUCAGCAUGGAAAUUGGGGCCUUUGGCUUUGACUUGUAAUCUGGUGAGGCAUUGCCAACAGAGGCGCAUAUGUAAGUCUCUUGGAAAAGAGCAUCAACGAAGGUGAGAGUCCUGAUUGUCAUGUGCAGCCCCCCUGUGCACGGUGUGCCUUCUAAGAGUCACGUUCCUUGGGAUUGGAGCGCAAAUUGGGUGGUAACUUUCAUCUGAAGUUAAACAAUGGUUUGGGACCGAUAGGAAACAAGUACCAUGAGGGAAAGGUGAAAAGGACUUUGGAAAGAGAGUUAAAAGUGCCUGAAAUUGCUGAAGGGGAAGCGAAUGGAACCAGUGGUGCUGGGUGAGAUUGUCACAUGCUGCAAGGAUUGGUUGCUGCCACAACGCAAGUGUGCUGGCAAUUUGUGAACUGCUAGUGUGUGGUGUGUCUUACCUAGUGGGUCAUUGUGGGUUUAUGCAUUAAGAUAAAUCAAAGCAAGCGGGAGCAAGUUUACGAGUUUGUGAAUGUGUGUUGUUAUGCUUGUGCGUAAGCUUUAGUGUUUGUCUGGCUGCAGGGCUGUCCAUCCUCAAGCUUUGCUGUGGUUGCGAUGAGCAUAACCUUCUGCACAGAUCUUGACGAAAUGGUUUCAUUCGACCCGUCUUGAAACACGGACCAAGGAGUCUAGCAUAUGUGCAUGCGCAUGGGCUUUACACCUGUGUGUGCAACGAAAGUGACUGCUGGGAUAAGUGCGCCAGCAACCGACCAAUUGAUUGAGAAAGGUUUGAGUAUCAGCAUAUGUGUUAGGACCCGAAAGAUGGUGAACUAUGCUUGAGAAGGGCAAACUCAGGGGAAACUCUGAUGGAGGCUCGUAGCGGUACUGACGUGCAAAUCGUUCGUCAUACUUGGGUAUAGGGGCGAAAGACUAAUCGAACCAUCUAGUAGCUGGUUCCCUCUGAAGUUUCCCUCAGGAUAGCUGGAGUUGAACAGUUUUAUCAGGUAAAGCGAAUGAUUAGAGGAAUCGGGGGCGCGCCGUUCUCGACCUAUUCUCAAACUUUUAAUGGGUAAGAUCCAGUGGUUACUUGGGUGAACUUCUGGGGCACAUGUUGAAUCCAAGUG